GUGUGCAGCUACCUGGGAGUAGAGAGCUCUUGCAAGUAAACCUGUAGAGUAAGGACUCAGAGUGGAACUGCUGUCUAUUCACUGGUUCAUCUGAGGACUAAGGCUUAAUGGAAAGUUCUGCUUUUUCUCAUAUCUUACAUGAAGUAUGACCCAGUCCCCUUCCUGCAGCAGGACACUCCCAUGAGAAAAUACAGUACCGCUUCCCACAGCCAUCUGAGUUCUAAAUCGACAGUGCCUCCUUCCACUGAAAGUCAAGUUU